rnacentral:rRNA from 1 species
UUUUGGGGAGGUGCCUUCCGAGUUCCCUGGGACGGGACGCCUUANAGGGGGAGAGCCCCGUCUGGUUGGACACCGAUCCUCUGUAAAGCUCCUUCUACGAGACGAGUAGUUUGGGAAUGCUGCUCUAAAUGGGAGGGAUAUGUCUUCUAAAGCUAAAUACCGGGCAGAGACCGAUAGCGCACAAGUAGAGUGAUCGAAAGAUGAAAAGAACUUUGAAAAGAGAGUUAAAAAGAACGUGAAAUUGUUGAAAGGGAANCGCUUGUGACCAGACUUGUUUUUGGAUGAUCAUCCGGGGUUCUCCCCGGGGGACUCUUCCGGUUCAGGCCAGCAUCAGUUCGCCCUGGGGGAUAAAGGCUUCGGGAAUGUGGCUCUCUCCGGGGAGNGUGAUAGCCCGCUGCGNAAUACCCUGUGGCGGACUGAGAGUCGCGCAUUCUCAAGGAUGCUGGCGUAAUGGUGAUCA